ACGGAAACGAUGGGAGCUUGCUCCCAGGCGUCGAGUGGCGGACGGGUGAGUAAUACUUAGGAAUCUGCCCAAUAGUGGGGGACAACUCGGGGAAACUCGAGCUAAUACCGCAUACGCCCUACGGGGGAAAGCGGGGGAUCUUCGGACCUCGCGCUAUUGGAUGAGCCUAAGUCGGAUUAGCUUGUUGGUGGGGUAAAGGCCUACCAAGGCGACGAUCCGUAGCUGGUCUGAGAGGAUGAUCAGCCACACUGGGACUGAGACACGGUCCAGACUCCUACGGGAGGCAGCAGUAGGGAAUAUUGGACAAUGGGCGAAAGCCUGAUCCAGCAAUGCCGCGUGUGUGAAGAAGGCCUGCGGGUUGUAAAGCACUUUCAGUAGAGAAGAAAAGCUUAGGGAUAAUACUCCUGGGUCUUGACGUAACCUACAGAAGAAGCACCGGCUAACUCCGUGCCAGCAGCCGCGGUAAUACGGAGGGUGCGAGCGUUAAUCGGAAUUACUGGGCGUAAAGCGCGCGUAGGCGGCUUGGUAAGUCGGAUGUGAAAGCCCUGGGCUUAACCUGGGAACUGCAUUCGAUACUGCUGAGCUAGAGUAUGGUAGAGGGAAGUGGAAU
rnacentral:rRNA from 1 species